rnacentral:rRNA from 1 species
GUGAGGAAUAUUGGUCAAUGGGCGGGAGCCUGAACCAGCCAAGUCGCGUGAAGGAAGAAGGAUCUAUGGUUCGUAAACUUCUUUUGCAGGGGAAUAAAGUGCAGGACGUGUCCUGUUUUGUAUGUACCCUGAGAAUAAGGAUCGGCUAACUCCGUGCCAGCAGCCGCGGUAAUACGGAGGAUCCGAGCGUUAUCCGGAUUUAUUGGGGUUACAGGGUGCGUAGGUGGUUUGAUAAGUCAGCGGUGAAAGUUUGCAGCUUAACUGUAAAAAUGCCGUUGAAACUGUCGGUCUUGAGUGUAAAUGAGGUAGGCGGAAUGCGUGGUGUAGCGGUGAAAUGCAGAGAUAUCACGCAGAACUCCGAUUGCGAAGGCAGCUUACUAAGCUACAACUGACACUGAAGCACGAAAGCGUGGGGAUCAAACAGGAUUAGAUACCCGUGUAGUCC